rnacentral:sRNA from 1 species
AAUUUAUCCUAGAGUUUAACUUUUAACAAUUUCCAAAAAAAUCUUUUUUUUUUUAUUUUUCUAAAAAGAAUUUUUGCUAUUUAUAAUAUAUAUAAUUGAUGAAUAUUAAGCGGCAAUUUUUCCGUUUUAAAUCAAUUACCGUAAUUAUACAAUUCAUAUACCAAUAUAUUUAAAUUUCGUUAAAAUCUUUUUAUUUUACUUUAUUACCAACCGAAUUAUUUCUAUAUUAUUACAAAGUAUUUUAAUUGCGCCGGAAACAUUUAAGUUUAAAUUAUUUAAUAAAUUUAAAACGUAAAAACUUGUUUUGCAAUUAUACCUAUAAUUAAUAAUUCAAAUUCCGUAAAUAAAGUAAAACUUAUUAUUUAUUUUUAGAAUUUCUGAUAUAUUAAACUUUUUCUAAUUAUAAAUACGAAGUUUUAGAAAGUACGUUUAGUUUAAAUGCGAUCGGUAAAUAAUAAAUCGCUCGCGAUUAUUAAAAAUCUGUAAAUUUCCGAGGGUUUGAAACGAAUUAUUGCAAAAAAGCGUCGAAAGGAAUAACGUAUAAUUUAAUUUACCGCAUUUAUAUAUUUUUAUAAUAGGUUAAUUCAAUGUUUGGAUUAUGUUAAAACGGUAAAUAUAAUAUAGAAACGGAUUAUUACGGUUAUAUGUAUUAAACUGUUUAUUGUUUCCUAAUAUACCCGAAUAAAUUAUUUAUUUCCGGGUUCGCCUUAAUUAGAUAAUAACUUCCCAAUAAAAUAAAAUAUUACGGAGAAGAAUUUGUUUAUUUUAUAUAAAUUAUAUUCUUGCGCCAACCUUUUUAUAUAUAAAUUAUAUUUAAAAUCAAUAUACGUAAUUCUUGGUUUUUGAUAAUUUUUGUUUUAAAAACCAUUGUAAAUUUUUAAUUGGCGGGAAAUCGUAUUUGUUCUUAAAAUAAAUGCAAAAGCACUUUUUCCCCUAUAUUUAUUUUGUUAUAACAUAAUAUAUUACUAAAGAAUUAUCGAUAUAAAAAAUAAUAAUAAUUUUAUAACUUUUGGAAUAAAAUAAAUAUAGUUUUUUUGCGUUGAGUUUUGAGCCAAAAUUGUAGAAAAUAUUGGAAAAAACGCUAAUAUUAUAGGAAAACCGAUUUUUCUUAUAACAUAUAGAAUUAUUAGCAAAAAUAUAAAUAUAUUUACCUGUUUAUACCCUGGGGGCAAAUAAUAAUAUAUUAUUUUUGGUUUUGAACAAAUUCGGUAUUUAAAUAAAAGUGUUUUAUAUUUGCUCGUUUUAUUUCCAUAUUUCGAUCCGCAUUUAUCACCAAUAUUCUGCGAAAUAAUUUAACGGCCAAAAUUAUCGCAUAUAUAUUUCCAAUUAUAAUUUUUUGCACAUCGUUUUUAACGCAAAUUCGUAUUUUGCAUUUAAUUUAAUAACCGUCCUGGUCAAAUUUUUUCAAAAAAACUUAUAAUAAUAAUAUAAAUUUAAUUCUUUCCGGGUAUUUUGUAAAUGGAAUUUUUAUGUAAAGUUUUUUAACGUCGAAAUUACCCAGUUUUUCGUUUAUUGCGUAUUUGAAAUUGUUUUUAAUAGAUAUUUAAAUAUAAUUUUAUAUUUUUUGGGUGGUGGCGGAAAAUUGUUUAAAUAUUUAAAACUUUCCGCGUUAUAUAUAUUAAUACCUGUUUUUUUUACUUUUUGAAAUUAAUUUUUUAUGUUUCAAAAAAUUGGUAAUAACCGCGAAAAUAUUAUAUAUUAUAAUUUGUAUAUUUCCGGAUUUUGGGUUAUAAUAUAUAAUUUUUAUAAAAUUUUGCUAAUUCCCUUCCGGAACCGUUUUAUUUAUAUACGCGAAUAUUGCAAAUAUAUUUCAUAUUUCGUCGUUAUUUCGAUUGUUUUCUUUUUUGGCGGAUCCUGUUAUUUAUUUGCGGAUUUUGUUAAUUUGCCGCGGAGUUUUAAUACCGUUUGUAAUAGGAUUUUUAUAUUUAUUUCAAUUUUUGGUGGAUAAGUUUAUUAUUAUGGUAAAAAUCGGGUCUUUAUUUUUUUCAACCGUAUAAUAGUCAAUAUUACGGUAUUAAUUUCCGGAAAUGUUUUCGGUUGAAAUUCUUUUUCCGGGUUUUUAAAAAAUUUGAAUGUAAGUUUUGGGGUUUUAAAACCAAUAUCCAAUUUUUGGCUUUUUUCUGGUAUCCAUUCCGCAAUUAUAAAAAUAAUUGUAAGCUUUCUUUCAACGGAUAAUUUAACAAAGUUUCCAGCGUUUUGGGUAUAUUUAACUUUUUUAUUUAAUUUAUCGACGGUAAAUUGGAUUAUUUCGGAAAAGAAAUUUUUUUCCGCUUAUAAAAUUAAAAAAUAAUAAUUCGUCAAAUAUUACGUCGCGAAUUAUAAUUACGCGACGAAGAGUUCGAACCCAAAUCAGGUAAAUAAUAUUUGAGACGUAUUUUAUAAAACAAUUAAUAUAUAUUUUGCGUUAAUUUUAUAAUAUUUCCAGUUUGUUUUUUAUAAUUGUUUUUAUAUAUUAUAUAAAUUUUACAUUUAUAUAUAAUUACGUUAUACUAUAAAAGUAUAUAUAUAUAUAUAUUUACAUGUUUUUAGCGUUUAUACGUUAAUUGGUAAAUAAUUAUAAAUAAUUGGGAAAUGUAUGGUUAUCGAUUUAUUAAAAAUUUAAGUAUAUAAUUUAAAUUCUAAUUUUACGCGUAACGAUUUAUUAUGUAAUUAAACGCUCGCUUUGGCCGUUUUUGGCCAGAAAUUGAUGGGAAAAUAUUCACCGUAUAAUAUUACCAAAGGUUUGGUUUAUAUUUUCUUGUUUGUUUGUUUAAUUUUCCCGUUUGGUUUAUAUAUAUUUGCAAAAUUAAAUAUUAGUUUAAUACCCUCUUUUUUAUCCAAAUUUCGUAUUCUUUCUAAUUCUGGAACUUAUUCGACACUAUUACCCGACUUAUAUCGCUCCGUAUUUUGCAAAUUAUAUAACCGUAUUAUUUCCGAGCCCAUUUUUCGAAAUCUUUAAUAAUAUUUAAAAACGUAAGGCCUAAACGGAAUUAUAUAAAAAUAACGUAAAUUAAUCCGCAAAAAAUAUUUUAAAUUACUAAUUGGUAUUUUAUUCCGUUAUAUUUCUCGGGGUAAUUUAUAUAAUUUUAAAAUAUUUCCCAAAAUAAUUAAUAAGGGCAAAUCUCUGGGGUUCGCCGUAAAAUUAUUCGUUUUACGUAUAUUUGCGCGCCAUUUUCGCAAAUUGUGCAAAUAUUGCCUAUAAUCUUUACCUUUUUUGCGUUUUGCAUUAACCAUUUUAACGUUUGCGAUUUUAAAUAACCAACGCGUCAAAACCAAAUGCGCGCUAUUUUAAUUUUUGGUUAAAAGGUUUAUAAUAUUAAUUCAAAACCUUUUUCUACCGUUUUAUUAUAUUACGUAUAACCGUUAUAACGAUAAUUUUUAUUUCCAAAAAAGGAAUAAAAUUGGAGAAAUAGGAAACUUAUGCGGUAUUACCUCAUAUUUAAAAAACGGUAGGCUUUGUUAUUUUUCCAACCGCAAAAUUAACGUAUUCGCGUAACUGAGGCCGUAUUUUAAAAGAAAUUGUAUUUAUAAAAUUAUAGUUGAUAUUUGUUAAUUAAUAUUGCGGAUAUUAUAUUAACGUGGAAUUUUGGAAUCAAUGCGACUUUUUCCAAAAUUAAAUCCCUUUUAUUAAAUAGGCUAUUAAAAAUUUUGCGGCCAUAGUUUUCAAUUUGCAACGUGAAUGCACCGGUUGCAAUUAAAUUAUGAAUAUUUGCUAAAUAAAAUGUUUUUUCGUCGAUUAAUAAUAUGAAAUUAAUAACGUGUAUCGCGUUACCAUUAUUAAUAAUAGUAUUAUUAGCAAAGAAAUAAAUAUUUCCUUUAAUUGCAAAUGUUCCGAUUAUUAUUUCUGGUAUUUUAAUUAUAUUAUAUAAUAUAACGGUAUAAUCUAUAAAUUUAUUUGGGAUGUAUUCGGGACUUUUUUAUAUCCCCGAAUUCGGUUUUUUAAAUUAAAAAUCUUCGUUAAAAUUUUUUAUAAAAAAGGGUUUCCCGUAUUAAAUUUUAGCGAAAUUGUUUAUAAUUCUUAGAUUUUAAUAAUUCUUAUAAAAUUGCGUUUUUUCGGCGGGAUUUAUAUUAAAAUUUGUCAAUUUUUCUGUUUUUUCUGUAUUUAUUAAAACCCAGUAAAAUUUAUCGCAAUUUUUUAAUUUUCAGCAAUAUUUUUUAUUUUCGGCAUUUUUAUAUAAAUAUUAUUAUUUUUAUAUUAAUUUUUUUUGGUUUGAAUUAUUUUCGUUUGGACUUUUUUACAAACCAUUUUCUCCUAUUAUUAUAAAUAUUGGAAUUGGAUAUAGGUUUGGUCGGUUACAAGUUGUUAAUUAUACGUAUAUUUUGAAAAUUCUUAAUUAUUCUUUUAUAUUUAUAAAUGGUUUUUUUAUAACCGUUAUUUUAUUUAUUUUAUAAAACUGGUAAAUUGUCCAAAAAACGGAUAUUUGUGCCGCAAUUAUUAAUAAUAAAUCGGUAACCCCGAUAAUAUUUUAAAUUUCCGGGAUAUUAUAUAUUUUGGCAAAUAAAUUUUCUUUUCCAUAUUUCACAUUUAAAUUUCCGGGUUUGUACUUUUGUAUUUGGUUUUGUCGCAUUAAUUUUAAUAUUUACGGCGCAUUUAAUUUAUUUUUAUAUUUUCUUAUAAAGUUAAUUGAAAAUCGAAAAACGCGGAAAGAAAUUGGGUGUCCGCCGUUUAUUUUUGCUAUAUUAAAACGUUCGCCCGUUUUAUAAAAUACAACUUUGUUAAUUUGGUAAUUAUAAAGGAAAUGUUAAUAUAAUAUUUAAUUACGGCGGGAAUAAAGAAACCAACGCCACGUUAUCGUACCAUUUUCCGAAUCUGUGGUAUAUUGGUAAUUGUUUAUCGAAUUUGCUAUUUAUAUUUAAAUUUUAAUAUGUUUUCCAUAUUAAUCUUUUCCCUCCCAAGGUUUUUAAAAUAGGGUUUUUGGUCGUUUUAAUAUAAAUGGGGUUGGGUGUAUUUUUGGUUAAAAAACUAUUAGGACCCAAAUAAAUCGUUUUUUAACGGCGGUUAUAAUAAAUAAAAACCGUUCGGGCCAUCUUUUCAACAUACGGAAGGUAAUAAUGGCAAAUUGAAUUUUUUUCGGAAAAAUAAAAUAUAAUGGGCAAAUAUACGGUUUGCGGGAAUAUUGUUGGAAAAGAAUUUAAUAGCAAAUAUUAGAAAAAUAUAUUAAAUAAAUAGGUUAUAUAAUCUAUAAAUAAAAUAAACGCUUUAUAAAACCUUUGGAUUAAACGUCGUCGGGACUUAUAAUUAUUAUAAGUAUUAUUUUUCAUUUAUUUUAUUUGAACGAUUAUAUUUAUUUAAAUGGAUUUAUAUAAUCGAACAAAUUUCCGUAUAAUACCAGUUUGAUUUUAGGAAAAUAAAAAUCAAAAAAUGUUAUACGCGCUAUAAAAUCGUAUUUGGAUAGAAAUGCGCGUUAUAUUAAAUAGAUAAAUGUUAUAUUUUUAACAAAGCGCGGAAAUUAAACCGUUGCUAAUAAUUCAACUGGUUUCAGCCCGAAUUAAACUUAUUGUAAUUAAAUAUUUUGUUAAAGGUUAUAGUGUACGCCGUUAAGGUUAAUUGCAGUGGUUUAGUACGCAAUAAAGUUAAUAAACGUUUUAAAAAGAAUAUAUUGGUAUAAGUUUUCAUUUGCAAUUCCGGAUUAUAUUAAAUAUUUAUACUUAAUUUCAAAUAAUAUUAAACUUGCCGUUUUUGUUUUUUAUAUUUUUCCGAAUUAUCAUUCUUCCCGACAGUUAACCUUUUUAACCGUUAAUUAAUUUAUUUAAAAUAAUUUUAUAGGAUAUUAUUUUGAAUAACAUUUUUAUUAUAACCGGAUAAAUUUGCUUAGUUUGGAGGGAAAAUUUACCGUCGUUUCUAAUAACUUGGUAAUAUAUUAUAUUAAUUGAAAUUUUCUUUUUUUAAACUAAUAAUCUUUUAUAUAUAGAAUAAAAUAAAAAAGUAUUCGGAUGUUUUUGGUUUUUUAUAAAUAGGGUUCGAAUUAAUACAAAAUCAAUUGUUUAUAAUUUUCUCCCAUUAUAUCCGCCGACCUCGCGUGCUCGGAAAUUAAUAAUUUUAUAUAAAAAAACAAUUUCAAAUAUUUUCCAUCCAAUAAUAUAUUUGAACUACGUAAUUAUAUAUGUUCGUAUCGGGCAGUAUUUCGGCGGAACAAAAUAUUUUAUUAUAAAUUAUAUGGAGAAAUAUAAAUAAAACCCUUUUUUCCAAAUACUAAUUUUAAAAGUUAAAGGAAAUACUUUUUACAUUUUAACAAAUAUUAUAUAUAAUAAUAAUUUGUUGUUAAAAAAAUCGUCUUGUUUUAAAAUAAUUAGUUUUCCAAUUAUUCAAAUCGUUGUCUAUUAAUUAACCUUUUUUUUAUUUAUAAUCCGUAUAAGCAAUUAACUACGGUAUUAAUUUUAACGUUGGGAAUUCCCGCGUUUCAAAACAAUAAACGGUUGGUUUCCGGACAAUACGGGUUCGACUUAUUUUUCGAAUAUCCGGUUAUACGCAACGUAAUCCGUUAUCCCGCUUUUUUAUUCACGGUAUAAAAUUUGUUUUAUAACCGGAAUUAAUUCGCAAAUACUUUCGUUAAACUUCCUUUUUGUCCGUUUUGUUACUAAUUUUCAUAAACUAAUAAUAUUACUUUUGAAUUUAUUAAUAAAAAGUUUCGACAGUAAUAAUGAUAUCCGUGCAUUCUUUUAUAUAUAUUAUUUUAAAACCGGGGUAAAAGCGCUUUUAAGUAAACUGUCUUUAAUUUAUUUUACAAAUCUGGUAUUCUUUUACCAAUUUUAUAAAUUUAUUCCUAAAUGAAAAAAGAAAUUUAUAUUUCUUUAUUUAUAAAAAGUUGAAUUUUAUAUUUAUUUCAAUCCAAACAAUAUAAUUAUAAUUCUUUUAAUAUAAAUAUUAUUAUAGGUUUUUAAAAACUAUAAUACGUUCGUAAUUAUUCUCGCGACAGCAUAGAAAAUAAAAUAUUGACGGCAGGAUUUUUGUCUAUUUUUUAACGUCGUUUAAAUUAAUAUUAUUUGCCGCAACUUUAUUUAUAAUUAUAUUAAACCAAAUUUCGACAAAUCAAUUGUUUUUUAUCGUUUCCGAAAAACGUCGGAAACUUUUAAUUUUCUUUUCUUUCCCGCACCUGCCCGCCUUCCGAUAUUACGGCAAUCGGGGGUUUUCUUUCGCGUCAGACGCGGCUACGGAAAUUAUUUCAGGUUCUAUUAAUUAAUUUUGAAAUUAAAUUUCGGAUUCUUUUUUUAUUUAAAUUAAUUAUUCAAUGCGUAAGAUUAUCGAUAGUAUUUUAAAACAGACAUUACGCAAUCGAUUAAUAAUUCUUUUAUUAAUAAUUAAUUUUGCUUUUUUAUAUACGAAUUUCAAUAAUAUCGCCGAAUGUUUUGGUUUAUUUAUUUAUAAUAUUUGAAUAUAAAUUAUAUUAUACGACGCAAUUAUAUAUUAUUAUAUAUUGCAACAACACGGCGUUAUUUAAUAAAAGCUUCGCUUUUAUUUAACAAAGUUCACGUCUUUAUAAUUUGAAUAUAAUUCUUUUAUUUCCAGAUUUUUCGAAGCUGUUUCCAAAUACUUUCUUAUUAUAAAUUAAUCCCAGGGCUUACCCCUGAUCGCGCGCUCCACAAUUAAACCUGUGGCUCAAUUUAUAACUUUGUUUAUACCUUGUGGGUUCAACCAAAAAUCGCGCUGGAUCAGGUUUAAAAAUAGGUUCAGUGCUUAAACUAGCCCAGCCUUGUUGCGCAAGGUGGACCAAACGUUCCAUAUAAUUACUACCCACAUGGUUUUUCCUAAUCUCAAGGCUCGUUCCUGAAACCCGUAGCUCUACAAUUAAACCUGUGGCUCAACCGGGGUUUUAACAUAUAUUUGUAAAUCCACGCCAAAACCGUUUCGGUCUAGGUUUAAAACCAUUUUGUUAUCUUUCGCCGUUCGUGGGGAUAUUUACAUUAAGUUAAAUAAUAUUGUUCCAAUUCUAUUUCCACCGCAUUCCAUAACCACGGCAAAUAUUAACGAAUAAAUAUAUUAUUAAAAAUAGGAAGAAUUGCAAUUUGCAUUAAAAGAUAUUUUCGCAAUUAACCAGCGGACGUUAAAAUUCGAUAUCAAUUUUUUUUAUUUCGCUAAUUUGAAUUGAAAAAAUAUAUUUAAUUAUUAUUAUUAAUACCAAAUUUUUAUUUUAUUAUAUAUAAAUAAAAUA